GACGAACGCUGGCGGCGUGCCUAAUACAUGCAAGUAGGACGCAGUUGCGAACGGGUGCGUCACGCGUAGGUAACUACCCAUUCGAGGGGGUUAACUAUUGGAAACGAUAGCUAACACCGCAUACCAGCAGCUGGUCCUCCGUUGUAUUAGCUAGUAGGUAGGCUAAUGGCCUACCUAGGCAACGAUACAUAGCCGACCUGAGAAGGUGAAAGGCCAAACGGGUACUGAGUAUCGGCCCAGACUCCAACGGUAAGCAGCAGGAGAGAAUCGUCGGCAAUGGGGGGAGCCCUGAGCGAGCAACGCCGCGAGAGUGAUUAAGGUUUUCGGAUCGUAAAACUCUGUUGUUAAGGAGGAGGUACUUAAGCAGAAAGGGACGGCUAACUACGUGCCAGCAGCGGCGGUAAUAC
rnacentral:rRNA from 1 species